UGUCAUUAGAACACAUGAAGGGACGCAUGCUUUUUUGGGGGUUUUCACGAUUUUUCACAACCUUGUAUUACAACCUUGUUUUAUUGUGGCUUUGUUGAAUUAUAAAACAAGUUUUGAGUAAUGUUGAUCGUUUGAACCUGUUUGAACUGUCAUCUCAAGGAUCUAGCAAGGGAAACAGGUAGCAUGCCAUCGACAUCAGAGAGCACUGUAAAGGAAGGCCCAGGACAGCCUUCAACCCAAAUAACUAAGAAGAAAACUUAUCGAAUGCCAUCGUGGAAAAUCAGGCGACUAAAGGGACGUGGCAUCGGUGCCUUGCUGAAGCAACUGCAGCCAGAUGGCUGUGCUGGACAGGAUCCCACACCAUCAGGUCACCUAGAGGGUGAAACAACCGAUCCUGUUCAGAGAAUCUCGCACAAUGCAGAGAAGUUGGAGAGCAAAGCGCUUAACCUGGCUAGGAAGUCCGAUUCAUCCGAGCAAGAAGGCCGGCCUCUGGCGGAACAAGCUCAACCCCCAAUAAAGGAUAGCUGCAGCUCUCCGGUGCAUCCACCUGUCAGCAUUCCGAAGUUGGACAAAAGGCUAGCCCAACAAGAGGAAGGUGUCAAAGAAAGUGGCGGAAAGAAUGCCUUUAAGAGGAAAAUGACUGCGCUUGUUCGAAAGAGCCCGGAAUUACGAAAAUAUUGGCACCAACGCUACCGUCUCUUCUCUAGGUUUGACGAGGGAGUUCGUCUGGACCGGGAGGGCUGGUUCUCGGUGACGCCCGAGCGAAUCGCGCGGCACAUCGCCGACCGGUGUCGCUCGGACGUCAUCGUGGACGCGUUUUGCGGCGUCGGCGGCAACGCCAUCCAGUUCGCCGCCACCUGCCGGCUCGGUGAGACCGCACACACAACGGGACCUGGGCUGACAGAGAAGACAUGAAAGAGCGUGAGGCACGAAAUCCUAAUGACUGAUUGCGGUGGACAUAUGUCCCGAGCGUGUGGAGCUGGCUCGGUUUAACGCCGGCGUGUACGGUGUGCAGGACCGUAUCCAGUUUGUGGUCGGCGACUUUUUCGAGCUGGCACCGCGGCUGCGGGCCGACGCCGUGUUUCUUUCGCCUCCUUGGGGUGGUCCUGAGUACUCGAAUGCUGAGGUGUACGACAUGUACCGACUGGACGGUACAAUGGAUGGUCGCGAGAUGAUGCGAGCCGCCCGCUCCAUCUCCAAGAACAUCGCCCUCCUGGCGCCGCGCAGUGCCGAUGUAGAUCAGCUGGCGGCGAUGGCCGGCCCGGGCGGUCGGGUGGAGGUGGAACAGAAUCUCCUCAACGGCCGGGCCAAGACCAUCACGGCAUACUACGGGGACCUGAUCGGCACGGGCGAGUCAUGAGACAGCGGUGAAACGGUGCUUCUGAAGGUGGAAUGGCCAGAUGGUGCUCCUGUGGUGUAUUGUGAUGACAUGAAUACAGAAAAGCCAUGCUGUGUUGUAACUUGUAA
rnacentral:misc_RNA from 1 species